GGAGCUAACGCGUUAAGUCGACCGCCUGGGGAGUACGGCCGCAAGGUUAAAACUCAAAUGAAUUGACGGGGGCCCGCACAAGCGGUGGAGCAUGUGGUUUAAUUCGAUGCAACGCGAAGAACCUUACCUGGUUUUGACAUCCACGGAAUUUGGCAGAGAUGCCUUAGUGCCUUCGGGAACCGUGAGACAGGUGCUGCAUGGCUGUCGUCAGCUCGUGUUGUGAAAUGUUGGGUUAAGUCCCGCAACGAGCGCAACCCUUAUCCUUUGUUGCCAGCGGUCCGGCCGGGAACUCAAAGGAGACUGCCAGUGAUAAACUGGAGGAAGGUGGGGAUGACGUCAAGUCAUCAUGGCCCUUACGACCAGGGCUACACACGUGCUACAAUGGCAUAUACAAAGAGAAGCGAUCUCGCGAGAGCAAGCGGACCUCAUAAAGUAUGUCGUAGUCCGGAUUGGAGUCUGCAACUCGACUCCAUGAAGUCGGAAUCGCUAGUAAUCGUGGAUCAGAAUGCCACGGUGAAUACGUUCCCGG
rnacentral:rRNA from 1 species